rnacentral:rRNA from 1 species
UAAGGAAUAUUGGUCAAUGGACGCAAGUCUGAACCAGCCAUGCCGCGUGGAGGAUUAAGGCCCUCUGGGUUGUAAACUCCUUUUAUCUGGGAAGAAAUGCAUUUUUUUUAAGAUGCUUGACGGUACCAGAGGAAUAAGCACCGGCUAACUCCGUGCCAGCAGCCGCGGUAAUACGGAGGGUGCAAGCGUUAUCCGGAUUCACUGGGUUUAAAGGGUGCGUAGGCGGGCAGGUAAGUCAGUGGUGAAAUCUCCGAGCUUAACUCGGAAACUGCCGUUGAUACUAUUUGUCUUGAAUACUGUGGAGGUAAGCGGAAUAUGUCAUGUAGCGGUGAAAUGCUUAGAUAUGACAUAGAACACCAAUUGCGAAGGCAGCUUACUACGCAGUUAUUGACGCUGAGGCACGAAAGCGUGGGGAUCAAACAGGAUUAGAUACCCCUGUAGUCC